rnacentral:rRNA from 1 species
AAAAGAAACCAACAGGGAUUGCCCCAGUAACGGCGAGUGAAGCGGCACCAGCUCAAAUUUGAAAUCCGGCCCUCCCCCGCGGGGGGGUCUGAGUUGUAAUUUGGAGAGGACGCUUCUGGCGCGGCGCCGUCCGAGUUCCCUGGAACGGGACGCCGGAGAGGGUGAGAGCCCCGUACGGGCGGCCGCCAAGCCUCUGCGAAGCUCCUUCGACGAGUCGAGUAGUUUGGGAAUGCUGCUCUAAACGGGAGGUAAAUUUCUUCCAAAGCUAAAUACUGGCCAGAGACCGAUAGCGCACAAGUAGAGUGAUCGAAAGAUGAAAAGCACUUUGAAAAGAGAGUCAAACAGUACGUGAAAUUGUUGAAAGGGAAGCGCCUGUGGCCAGACUUGCGCCCCGCGGACCACCCGGCGCCCCGGCGCCGGGGCACUCUGCGGGGUGCAGGCCAGCAUCGGCUCCCCUGGGGCCACAAAGGCCGCGGGAACGUAGCGCCCUCGGGCGUGUUACAGCCCGCGGCGGCAUGCCCCCGGGGGGGCCGAGGA